UGUGAUUCAUCUCCUAUGGUUGUGGCA
rnacentral:piRNA from 1 species